rnacentral:rRNA from 1 species
AUUGAACGCUGGCGGCAGGCCUAACACAUGCAAGUCGAACGAGUGGCGGACGGGUGAGUAAUGUCUGGGAAACUGCCUGAUGGAGGGGGAUAACUACUGGAAACGGUAGCUAAUACCGCAUACCAUCAGAUGUGCCCAGAUGGGAUUAGCUGGUUGGUGGGGUAAAGGCUCACCAAGGCGACGAUCCCUAGCUGGUCUGAGAGGAUGACCAUCCACACUGGAACUGAGAAACGGGCCAUACUCCUACGGGGGGCAGCAGGGGGGAAAUUUGCGCAAUGGGGGCAAGCCUGAUGCAGCCAUGCCGCGUGUAUGAUGAAGGCCUUCGGGUUGUAAAGUACUUUCAGCGGGGAGGCGGUACCCGCAGAAUAAGCACCGGCUAACUCCGUGCCAGCAGCCGCGGUAAUAC